UACGAGGGGGGCGAGCGUUGUUCGGAAUUAUUGGGCGUAGAGGGUGCGUAGGCGGUUUGGUAAGUCUUAUGUGAAAUCUAUGGGCUCAACUCAUAGUCUGCAUGAGAAACUGCCGGGCUUGAGUGUGGGAGAGGUGAGUGGAAUUUCCGGUGUAGCGGUGAAAUGCGUAGAUAUCGGAAGGAACACCUGUGGCGAAAGCGGCUCACUGGACCACAACUGACGCUGAUGCACGAAAGCUAGGGGAGCAAACAGG
rnacentral:rRNA from 1 species